AGUGGCCUAGUGGUUAAGCCGUCCGCCUGGUAACCCAGGGGUCGUGGGUUUGAGUCCGGGU
rnacentral:tRNA from 11 species